rnacentral:rRNA from 1 species
GUGUCAGCAGCCGCGGUAAGACGUAGGGCGCGAGCGUUGUCCGGAUUUAUUGGGCGUAAAGAGCUCGUAGGCGGCUCGUUGCGUCAACCGUGAAAACCCGGGGCUUAACUUCGGGCUUGCGGUUGAUACGGGCGGGCUGGAGUUCGGUAGGGGAGACUGGAAUUCCUGGUGUAGCGGUGAAAUGCGCAGAUAUCAGGAGGAACACCGGUGGCGAAGGCGGGUCUCUGGGCCGAUACUGACGCUGAGGAGCGAAAGCGUGGGGAGCGAACAGGAUUAGAUACCCUGGUAGUCCACGCUGUAAACGUUGGGCGCUAGGUGUGGGGGGCCUCUCCGGUUUCCUGUGCCGUAGCUAACGCAUUAAGCGCCCCGCCUGGGGAGUACGGCCGCAAGGCUAAA